rnacentral:rRNA from 1 species
GACGAACGUUGGCGGCGUGCUUAAUACAUGCAAGUCAACUGAAGCAGUGGUAGCAAUAUCGCUGUGGAGGUGGCGCACGGGUGAGUAACACGUAGGUAAUCUGCCUUCAGGUCUGGCAUAACUCCGGGAAACCGGGGCUAAUAGCAGAUGAUGCAGCGGCUCGACAUCGAGACAGUUGUUAAAGCUAUGGCGCCUGAAGAUGAGCCUGCGUCUGAUUAGCUAGUUGGCGGGGUAACGGCCCACCAAGGCAACGAUCAGUAGCUGGUCUGAGAGGAUGAUCAGCCACACUGGAACUGAGACACGGUCCAGACUCCUACGGGAGGCAGCAGUAGGAAUAUUGCUCAAUGGGAGAAAUCCUGAAGCAGCAACGCCGCGUGAGGGACGAAGGGCUUUUGCUUGUAAACCUCUGUAGUGAGAGAAAAAAAUCCCAAUCUUUGGGACAUGAUGGUAUCUCAAAAGUAAGCCCCGGCUAACUACGUG